UCGACCAACUUCGAGCCUGUCAGUCAAAGAAAGUGAAAAUUGCUGUAGCGCAAAUUGAUGAAGUCCGGACGUUUUUGCGUGAGUGGCAAGUGCCUGAGGCUCUUCCUCUUCGAAGAUGUCUGCUGUUCUGCCUACUGAGGAGUCUACAAUCUAAAACUAAUUGAGACCUAAAAGAGGCAGACCAGGAGAUAACACCACAGACUAUCAAGUUUAAUCUGACAUCUCUUUUCUUUCUUUGUAUUUCUUGUUUGGGAAAGAGAACCAAGGAAGUCUCUAGCAAAACCUCUUUAGAGUGCAUCCAAAGCUGUUGCUGAUUUGGAUUCCAGGACUUUACUGGAACGUGAUGAAUGGAGAAAAGUAAUUCUAGAGUAUUUUUAAACGUACAAGUCAAUUACCGGAAAAGAGAGAGAUCUUGUAACGACAUGUGUGAUGGGGUGGACGUUCUGAGGAGGAUCAGUCAUAGCUUGAAAAUCCAGGUUUUUGCAUUCGCUACCUUGUAAAAUUAAGGAGUGUUGUCCCACUGAAGAUGCUGAAAUGUAGGUGCUAUCGGGGAAACCCACUACAAUACUGCAAAGUUGAAAGCAACCUGAAGGCCCUGGUGGAUCACAGGCCCAAUACAAAUUCAGCCUCCUCUUCGUCGGUUGUUAGCAAGGAUGAUCAUAAGGCUAUUCUCUAAGCAGUAAUAAUAACUGAAAGUAAACAGUCUGUACUGUGGCUCAAGAUCGAUUCUGCAACAACAAACAAUUGGCCCCUUCCGAUAAAAAGAAGGCAAUUAUCUGCACCACUUAAGUUGCAGAAAUACUUUGAAGACAAGACUGGAAUCAAUUUCAGCUUUAUUUCUGUGAAUAAGCUUGAGAUGGAUUUCAUUGUACUGUACCUAGGAAAGGAAAUGAUUUUUGUUCAUAAGUAGGACAUUUUUGUAAAGAAAUCAUCUCUGCUACAACUGAUAUGAAAGAUCAAACUGGGAAAGAUUGCUUUGCCUAGUCAACUCAGCACUUACUAAUCAAGUCCAACCCAGGCGCUGGUCUAGAGAGCUUAAACUGCCCUUAGUAGCACUUUCAGGAACAGUAAAAGCGAUAUGUUGAUGCUAACUAUUCAAUUAAAAGUUAGUUUGUAAAUUUGUUAAUACUCUGUUGAAGAAUGGAAUGGAAAUCACAUAGCAUAGCUCUCUAUUGAAUGGUGGAAACAUUUCCUGCAUUAAGAGUUUGACAUUUUUCAAAAUAAGAUUUUUCAUGGGAGCCUUGCUGUACUGUGCUUGGCAAUCGUUCCAGCACUAUGCCCCCCAACAACGAAACAUCUCUCCAAGUCUUCCAACAAGCUGGAAAAAAUAAGCAUCGCUAGUUCUUGGGCAACCUCAUUCCUAGCAAGUGAUUCUUUAUACUUCUCCAGCAUUAUAGUAACAGGACAAUCUUAACCCUUUUUAUUGUUGAUACACAGGAUUUGUCUGAUUUACCAGAAAAUUUCUAAAAUAAAAAAAGGAGGGCUAUUAGCUUUA